CCUACGGGAGGCAGCAGUAGGGAAUAUUGCUCAAUGGGGGAAACCCUGAAGCAGCAACGCCGCGUGGAGGAUGAAGGUUUUCGGAUCGUAAACUCCUUUUGUUAGAGAAGAUAAUUACGGUAUCUAACGAAUCAGCACCGGCUAACUCCGUGCCAGCAGCCGCGGUAAUACGGAGGGUGCAAGCGUUACUCGGAAUCACUGGGCGUAAAGAGCGCGUAGGCGGGAUAGCAAGUCAGAUGUGAAAUCCUAUGGCUUAACCAUAGAACUGCAUUUGAAACUGUUAUUCUAGAGUAUGGGAGAGGUAGGUGGAAUUCUUGGUGUAGGGGUAAAAUCCGUAGAGAUCAAGAGGAAUACUCAUUGCGAAGGCGACCUGCUAGAACAUAACUGACGCUGAUGCGCGAAAGCGUGGGGAGCAAACAGGAUUAGAUACCCGGGUAGUC
rnacentral:rRNA from 1 species